UUGAACUCAGAGUUGAGUUAAAUUAAUUAAAUUGAUCAACUCCAAUCUACAAUGGCUGGACAUUAAUUGCAUAUAUAAAACGCACUCAUGAGUCAUGACCCAAGACAGUGAGGCCACAACACCACCACUUGGUUAAGUAUUAGCAUCUCUCGUCGAUGAGGCUCAUUACCACAUCAAACACGGGUUUCAAACGCUCCAAGACAUGAGGGAUUUGUCUAAGGAGCAUCAAAUCGGCUAGCUAAGCUAACUGCCAAGGGCGCCGCUAAUGAUUAUUGAUACACCCACCUUAAUUAAUUUGUGUCCCCAGGACUUUGAGUAAUUUCACGGUUGUGUGGACCGCUAAUGAGUAAUGAUACCUCAAAUCAAAACGUUUCAAUGUUAAUGCUAACCACGGACUCGGAGGAAACCUUAUGUAUGGACCGUUGUUUGGUGUCCGAUGUUGACAAUUUCCUCUCGCCCUCCUUCAGUUGGGGAGUCAUCUUUGGAGGAGUCCGGCUUCAGUCCAGUAGUUAAACCUGGACGUGAGUCUCUCUUCGAGUCUCCUCUCCUCUCUUCUCCUCUGCCAGACGAGUCCGAAUCUUAUGCUCGCUCUUCUCCGCUCGACGGCAAUUGCAAAACCAUCACCGGCGGCGGAUCAAGAACCUCAGGUAUUAUAUCUUUGCAUCCCAUCUUCCUUCCAUCUCUUCUUUAUGCCAACAAUAGCCCAAUAGUUGCACCAAGUUCCGGUGUCGCAUUCGACCGAUGCUAACUACCUCUGCCACAAAUUCUCUCAUCCCCUAUCUGGACUCGUGGGAGACUCUCUUCACUGCAACUUCGAUUUCAGAGGUGGGUACUAUACCUCUAUAGACUCUGCCAAAUCCGCCGCUACCUAAAACUUUCUUGUCUCUGAACCCCUUGGUGGUGAGGUAGCAGAGAUCCUUGUAUUUGAAUUUGUGAGGCCCGUACUCCAUUUCCCAAUCUUCAACUAAUUCUAUGAACUUUCUCUUCCUUGCCAUGAUAAAUUGGACUCCGUAGACCACGGUGGACACAAAAACUAUGAUAACAUUCGGCAACCCAAUUGUCAAAAACUUGGAUUUCUCCUUCGGUCCUACUCGAGGAAGCUUGGGAAGUUGAGAGAGAGUGAGUUGUUUUGCUGGUCCGUUCAGCUGAAAGCUCCAUCCCAAUAGUAGUGAGAUGAAAGAACAGAGCCUGUUGGCGAUGAAAAUCCAACGUACAUGGGGUCUUUCAUGAUUGGAGAAAGAUCGAUUUUCAGAGAUAGGAGCGGGAUAUCAGGUUUAUCUAGUUAAACGGAGCUAAUGUCACAUUAAUCUGCUUUUCGCGGCCAUUAUAUUCUAUCCAAAGUUGCAUAGGCUUUUAGGUUCUGACUGACACCAUUAGGAUCUGUAUAAUAGGCCGGGGUGGAUGGUAUCGAUCUCAACGGCGACAACAUGGCUGUUCAAAUCACCACUGCUGGACUCAUCGAAGAGGCCAAUAAACUAGCUUGGUAGAGCUCCCGGCAAAGCUCUUGAAGGUGCGAUCACGAAAGCGAUUCCGUAACCACUUAGAUUUGGGUACGGGGGGAUGAUUCUGAAUACGAAAGUGGUAGAGAAUGAGACAACAUUCCCGUCAUCCGAUCCGGGAUUCUUGAAAUGGGUUGGAAAAGGGUAGAAAGCAUGGCCUUGCUUCUGUCUGGUUUUGUUGGUCAACAUCAACAGGCCAGUCGGUGUUGAUCCGUCGUCGGUGAUGGUUGUAUAAUCGCCGGUGUUGAUGGUUUUGCAGUUGCCACCGAGUGAAGAGGAGAAAGUGUGAGGUUCGAACUUGUCUAGCAGAGGAGAGGAGAGAAACUCGACGAGAGACUCACGUCCAGGUUUAGCCACUAACGGUGGUUAAACCCCUCCGCAGGCUUGAGAACGUCACACGCUUCGGAAGACAUGCGGCGCAUCCUCCGAAUGUGCAAAACCAAUCAACACUCAACUUUUUGUUUGGGUGAAUACGGGUUAUCCCAGGUAACCAGUUUUAAAAACAACUAUUUAAAUCACAUUUCAAAAAAAAAAUGUCACCCUCCCCCUUUUCUCUUUAUCUCCAAAUUCCUACCCGAUGCCCUGCGUUAGAAGUAAUCGAGUCCCGCUACAGAGAGAGACAACCUUUAUUGCCGAUGGAAAAUGGCUUCCCCAGCUGUAAUCGAGUCCAUUGUCGUCUUCGAGACCAGACAACCUUCGCUGGCGGAAGCAAGGAGGGAUUGUUGUAGGAUUCUGCCAACGAAGAAGAAUUUCACAAUGCACAUAUCCGUGGGCAACUGCCGAGGUGGUGAAGUAACUGAACUGUAACAUUACUAUAACUACUAAUUCGUAUAAUACAGCAUCGUACUGGUAGUAAUAAUGGUCUUUCUUGGUAGAACUCCAACUCCAGCAUAACAAAUUGUAACAAAACAAAAUAUCAAAAUCUCUCUAGCUGGUAACAAAUUCAGAAAUAUGUCCAACCUAGAAGAAAAUACAACUCAAUUACUUUUUACCGACUGACCAAGUGUUUCAGCUUCUUUGUUAGCAUUCAGUUCCUCUGAAAAUACAACUCAAUUACUAGUUCCCUGUAUCUGCUUACUUUCAACUUCUCAAAGCAUUUUUUCACCUACUAUGCCUUGUGUUUAUUGAUUUUUGGUUUACAGACUACAGUUGAGACUACAGUUGUGCCACUAGGAGAGGAGGAACUCCAUUUGGUAGCCAUGUUAUAUAGGAAGAAUGACAAACAAUAUUUAUGUUUUUGGGGUUUUAACGUUGCACCAGUGCUUUACAAUUCUUGUCUUGUCAUGCUAAAUCUUAGAUGUCUGGGCAUGGUAUUUGUUCUUGAUGAAACACUUGUAGUUGUAAACACAAUGCGAUCAUUUGAGGAUCAAAUUGAUGCCUUACAGCGGAAAAUAAAUACAGAGGUGGAUCCCCAACGCAUUACUGGCAUGUUAGCAGAGGUUAAGCGCUAUAAGGAUGCCAAGAUUAUUUUGAAACAGUAUGCAUAAAAUGAUUAGGUUGUUGACAAUGGAAAGGUGAUUAAAGUUCAAUCUGAGAUUGUUCCAGCUUUGUCUAACAACCAUCAACCAAUUGCCCGUCCACUUAUAAGGUUACAGGAGAGGAACAUUAUUUUGACUCGCAUAAAUCCUGGGGUAUAUAUUCACCAAAUCUAAAUCCUUUACUUAGGUCAAAUCCAUAACCCAAUUG